AACUGGUCGGGAGCUGAUGCCACUCUCCUAACAAGGCCAUGGCAAGCCGAAACCAAUU
rnacentral:hammerhead_ribozyme from 15 species